rnacentral:misc_RNA from 1 species
AGCAGCCGCGGUAAUUCCAGCUCCAAUAGCGUAUAUUAAAGUUGUUGCAGUUAAAAAGCUCGUAGUUGAAUUUCGGGGUUAGUAGGUUGGUCAUGCCUCUGGUAUGUACUGGUCUCACUGAUUCCUCCUUCCUGAUGAGCCGUAAUGCCAUUAAUUUGGUGUUGCGGGGAAUUUGGACUGUUACUUUGAAAAAUUAGAGUGUUUAAAGCAAGCUAACGCUUGAAUACAUUAGCAUGGAAUAAUGAAAUAGGACGUUCGAUCCUAUUUUGUUGGUUUCUAGGAUUGACGUAAUGAUUAAUAGGGAUAGUUGGGGGCAUUAGUAUUCAAUUGUCAGAGGUGAAAUUCUUGGAUUUAUUGAAGACUAACUACUGCGAAAGCAUUUGCCAAGGGUGUUUUCAUUAAUCAAGAACGAAAGUUAGGGGAUCGAAGACGAUCAGAUACCGUCGUAGUCUUAACCAUAAACUAUGCCGACUAGGGAUCGGAUGAUGUUAAUUUUUUAAUGUACUCAUUCGGCGCCUUA